GCUGGGAAAAGGUAAGUAAAUAGUGUUUUCAACCUUUUAUUUACUGGUGAGGGAGGCAGGGGGAAUGGUAGUGCCAGGAAUACAGCAUCCCUUUAAUGCUGCUCUCUGCCUCCACUGCUUCCGACAGAGAGCCAAAAGCUCUCUGUCUGAGCUAUGCCUGGUGGUGCAGAGAGUAGCUCAUUGGCUGAUUUGGAGUGUGUCUUUACUUUAGCAUGG